UUCUCUCGUGGUUGCCAAGGUAAUGAAGAAAGAAAUGUGUUUUGGGAGGCUUUGAAAGUUGGGUCUACAAAGCUUAAGUUCGGUUUGCGAAAGAAAUUCAGAUUGAAGGUUGGGGAGAGAUUGUCUACGUUAAUUUGUCCUUGUACAAGGAAACUUGGAUGGUCAAAGCUAAAGUUGGAUUUCAUGUGCUACUUGGUUCGGGAAAUUGGACUUGAAGUGUAAGUCAUGCGGUCAAGAACUAGAUUUUCACGGGCGGUCGACAUUGUCUCAGGAUUUGGCUAGUAGCAUAUUUUCGGUGAGUGGAUAGAUAACUUAUCUGAUGCACUGAACCCACACACACCUAUGAUCCGUCCUUUUCUUCAGAUUUUGUAUUAGUGUCCCUAUUUGUCAAUAUCCGUAUAUAUCCGUUCGGUUACUGUUUGUUAGACUUCUUGUGUGACCCAUGAUUUUCUUACUAUUGGG